CCGCUGGACAUCGAGGGGCUGCGGGAGGACGGGCUCAGGGCCAAGGCAGAGGAGCUCCACGCCUGGAUCCAGCAGCUCGAGUCCGAGAAGUUCGACCUGAGCGAGAAACUGCGGCGGCAGCGCUACGAGAUCAACGUGCUCUACAACCGCAUCAGCCACGCCCAGAAAUU